rnacentral:lncRNA from 1 species
GUUGAUGAUCUGAAAUUUUGGAAGAUCAAUUCACAAUCUGUUUAUCUAACCCGUUGUGAAUAUUCUUUUUUAUAAUUUCUUGUGCACACAGCUUCGAUGUUUUAACAAUAAAUUAAGAUGAAUUGUUGUUUUGCGUCUAAUACAAACCUAAUUUUAUAUAUGUAGAUAUACUUGAAAGAGUCCUGCGUUGUUGAAGAUUGUGUCACAUCCAUGUGCAGAGAUCCACUGAUCGAAUGAACCGAGGAGUACAUCGUCUACACCUGUAAAAAUUACAUUUGUUGCAAUUCUGAUUAUUAAUUGUAAUAUCUACUUCUGUGAACGAUGAUACUGUUUACUAGCAUUAUCGAUAUAUUGACCUUAUUACUUGAAAGCAAGAUAUGAGAUUCAACUAAAUGAUAUACUGUUUACUAGCAUUAUCCGAUAUAUUGACAUUAUUAUCAGAUUCGAUCGAUGAGAUCCAACUAACUAAAAUCAAUAGAUCCAAUACCUUCGUUGUUGACCUCCUGAAUCUGAAGGUUUGGGGCCGGCAAAUUAACCAGAGGAAUCUG